rnacentral:misc_RNA from 1 species
GAUGAAGAACGCAGCGAAAUGCGAUACGUAGUGUGAAUUGCAGAAUUCAGUGAAUCAUCGAAUCUUUGAACGCACAUUGCGCCCCCUGGUAUUCCGGGGGGCAUGCCUGUCCGAGCGUCAUUGCUGCCCUCAAGCACGGCUUGUGUGUUGGGCCUCCGUCCUCCUCCCGGGGGACGGGCCCGAAAGGCAGCGGCGGCACCGCGUCCGGUCCUCGAGCGUAUGGGGCUUCGUCACCCGCUCUUGUAGGCCCGGCCGGCGCUUGCCGACACAUCAAUCUUUUUUCCAGGUUGACCUCGGAUCAGGUAGGGAUACCCGCUGAACUUAAGCAUAUCAAUAAGCGGAGGA